rnacentral:RNase_P_RNA from 1 species
CGGGGCGGACAGCCGCGGAUGGGAACCGAAAGGACCCAGAUGAGGAAAGUCCGGGCUCCACAGGGCAAGGAUAACGGGUAACGCCCGCCGGGGGCAACCCCAGGACAAGUGCAACAGAGAGAUACCGCCAUGCCCCAAAAGGGCUCCCAUCGAAGCCCAGCGCAAGCGGGUUCGAUGGGAAAGAGGAGAUUGCGCAUAUAGGGCGAGCUUUCCCGCUUGCGGGAAAGUGAGCGUUUAUAUGCGGCAAUCGACGAUGGUAAGGGUGAAAAGGUGCGGUAAGAGCGCACCCAGCCCAUGGAAACAUGGGUCAAGAGCGCCUAUGCGCUUCAUGCUGUAAACUCUAUCCGGAGCAACACCGUGUACGGGACAUUUGGCUUGCCCGGCCGUCCCGAAGAGGUGGCUUGACUUUGCCGGCAACGGCAAGGCUAGAUAGAUGGCUGUCAAGACAGAACCCGGCUUACAGCCCC